GUCAGCUCAUACAUUUUCAUUGUAUAUAAUAAUGGUUGCAAUAGAAUUAGAUAAUUUUAAAUUUAUUUUAUUUUUUUCCGAGUUUCUUAUUAGAUUUUAACCAACUACACAGACGCUUGUUUGUCCCAACUUCAAUUGCGAUCAUCAGUUACAAAAAUCAUGGAAGGUAUGUUGCAACUUAUGCUUCCAAGAAACUAAUCUACUACAGUUGGGUAUAUUUAAAAGCUUGGAUUCUGA
rnacentral:misc_RNA from 1 species